rnacentral:rRNA from 1 species
CCUACGGGUGGCAGCAGUGAGGAAUAUUGGUCAAUGGCCGUAAGGCUGAACCAGCCAAGUCGCGUGAAGGAAGAAGGACCUAUGGUUUGUAAACUUCUUUUAUAGGGGAAUAAAGGUAUGCACGUGUGGAUAUUUGCAUGUACCUUAUGAAUAAGCAUCGGCUAACUCCGUGCCAGCAGCCGCGGUAAUACGGAGGAUUCGAGCGUUAUCCGGAUUUAUUGGGUUUAAAGGGUGCGUAGGCGGGUUUUUAAGUCAGUUGUUAAACCUUGGGGCUUAAACUUUAAAUUGCAAUUAAUACUGGCAGCCUCGAGUACAGACGAGGUAGGCGGAAUAAGUGAAGUAGCGGUGAAAUGCUUAGAUAUAACGUAGAACUCCGAUAGCGAAGGCAGCUUACCAGACUGCGACUGACGCUGAAGCACGAGAGCGUGGGUAGCGAACAGGAUUAGAUACCCCUGUAGUC